CACCCAAUCUGUUCUCCUUAUGGCUCAUAUUUCCUACAUGUUGUAUAAACCCUUAAUGUCAUGUGGGUUAGUCAGGACCUUAGAGCCCAAAGUAUGGACAGAAUGAAUAAUACCUAAGGCAGAUGUAGAAUUAAAGAAGAAGGGCUACAGAUCAGCUUUGCAUUUUUUGGUUUUGUUUGCCCCCUCCCUCCAUCCAGACUCUACAUACUACACUGAGAAUUGUUGUAAAGGAGUGUUGCCAUAUAACAGUGAAAAAAGGCAAGAGAAAGAGCAGGAGAUCUGGGCUCUUCCAGAGUGCUGGAUAUGCUUGGGAGGAAAACCCUUUAGUGGGAAUUAAACUACUAACCCAGGUGUAUAAACAGAACUCCUCAUACAUAGCUAACAAGCAAUAUUGCCAUUCAACUCCUUCACAUGACUUCUCACUGUGAAUAUAGCAAAUGCCCCAUAAAAUGAACCAUUUGGCUCCCAUAAGCACCUAGGAGUGCACAUGCACACACCUAUGUACCCAUACUUAGAGAUCCUAACAAUUUACCAACUGAAAAAACUUUAUUAAGAAUCAACUCUCUUAGGUACUAGAGAUACAAAGUCCAGUAUCAAAUAAUCCCUGAAUCCAAAAGUUUUACACACAAACUAAGAGAAGGGAAAUAAAAUUUGACAUCAUCUAAGACAAUAACUUAAAAAUGAUUGUGUGACUUCAGUAUUGAAGAGUCUAUCGUUUCAUGUAUGUCAUAUAUGUAUGACUGUAUCCAUAUAGGUCAUCUCGGUGGAACAAUGGAUAGAAUACUGUGUCUGGAGUCAGGAAUCUGAGUUCAAAUCCAGAACCAGAUGUUAACUAACUGCGUGAAGUUAUUUGUCACUUCAAAAUGUUUGCCUCAGUUUCCUCAUUUAUAUAAUAAACUGGAGAAAAAAAUGAUAAACCAGUCUAGUAUCUUUGAUAGGAAAAUCUCAAAUUGGGUCAUGAAGAGUUGGUACAUGCUUGAAAUGAAUGAACAACAAUUUAUAUACAGCAGGGGAUUUCCAGGUUAAGAUGGCUGCAGUAGUAGCAAGGGGCUCUUUCUUCUCACCACCAACCAAUGUGAAAAGCCUCAAAAGGACAAGAAGCAGAAUCAGAUAAAUGAAGGGGCUCAUCUGUAGGACACAGACUGAGAGGUACACAGGGUUUGGGCAUUUCAAUGCUAUAAGGGGAAAGAAUAUCUCAUACCAAGGAGGGAACUGAUCACCCUUCCCCCAUUACACCUACCACACCAGAGUGAAUCUGCACAAGCUCAGGGCAAUCUCUAGGUUCUGAGGAUGGGCUGACUGAGGGAACCACAGACUUGCCCCAAAGAUCAGAAAGACUUAGAACCCCAGGAGGCUGGUGCAGAGCUUAGGCACAGAGGCAGGGCUGAGACUGAAAAAUAGCCUCAGGGAAGUUCAAUACACAGAGAGCUGCCUACCUUCCUCACUCAGACUUCUGCCUGGGAAGGGAAGAAAAACACAACAUAGUAAUGGCCAACACCCAAGAAUUACAAUGUAUAAUUACCAAAAAAAGUAAGAAGAAGAAAAAGCGUUUGACUCUGGAUAAUUUCCACUUAGAGAAACAACAAACUACAGAGGUGACAGCAGAGGACGACAAAUAAGCAAACAAAUCCAAACUUUCCAAAAAAAUGGAAAUU
rnacentral:lncRNA from 1 species